GGGAUAAUAGUUAAAAAAUAACAUUUAAUUUGCAAUUAAAAAUUAUUAAUAGAAUUAAUUUUUCUCA
rnacentral:tRNA from 1 species